GGGACUGAGUAGCUCGGGGGCCGUCCCAGUCUAAGGACUCCAAACCCGCCAUCCCCCCUCGCUGCAGACUUCGCUUACUGCUUAGUUGCAGGAGGAUGGAGCAGAGGUGGCUUCCCUACGUUUUCCACCACGAUGUAACGGAUGCUUAUAAAAAGUUGUAUUAAAGAGCUGACUACAGCCCAGAAUCGAUCAACCAAAGCGACCAGCCUCUCUGGAUAAAAUAGCUCUUCCCAAGGCCUUCUUCUUGAAAACAUAGCGUCUUUUUUUUUUUAGUACAUCCUGUGCUUUUUUGUUUCCCCCUUGAGAAUGGUGUUGUGUGAUAAAUGUGAAUUUAUUAGGGAGCAGAGUGGCACCUUCCAAAAUUACUUAGCUAUACUGACUGUUGCUGCUCCCGGAGCAGUCACUUAAAUUCAGACUCCUGUACUCAACCUCUCUUCUAGGAUGCUCU
rnacentral:lncRNA from 1 species